GACUUGCAUUCUUGAAGUCUCACACUGUUUUGAGAGCAACUGCUACCUCUGCAUGCUCUGAAAAGCAUUUAACUGCAUGUUCAAAGUUACAAGUUAGGAAGAGACAACCUUCUCAGUGUCUGUACAUUUGUCUCUCUUUCUCUCCUUCUGUUAUCUUCCCUCACCUCCGUCUCUCUCUGAUGUAGUAGAUGUUCUGAAGAUAGGUCAGAGGGCUGAGAGCACACGCUAGCAUAUGGACCCAUGCCAGGUACCUGACUCUGUGCCAGCUUGGACAGAGAUGAGACACAGAACAGCUGAGUGACUUCAAUGACGAUUAAGAGCUGAUGUUUUUUGGAAGGGGGUGAUCAUGUUCUGUGCAAGCUGUUGACAGGUGCCCCUGUCAUGCCUGAUGGGUUUCUGUACAAAAUGCGCAAGCCAGCAGGUCUCGGCUGUCGGUCCAUUUCGCCGGCACAAAACCAGGCAGGGAGGUGGUCCUUUCUCUAGGCAUAUGAGCGUAAAUGACAUUACCAGGAUGUGAUGAUAGCCCACAGUCACUAAUAUAUUUGGGAGUCUGUUUCUGGUUUCGGGUUAAAUAUGUUGUCUUAUUUACAUUUUCUCACUUCACACUCGGGUUCUUCGAUUUAUUUUCAUUGCCUUGAUCAGUCAUUCACGGAUUUGAAAGCAGCAGUUGAUUUUGUGACAUACUGUGAGGCCUGUAGAAAAGUGGCAAAUGAUCUUGUAGACAAGCAGCAAAUAUUUGAUCUAAAAGAAAAACAAGGAUGUGGCUCUCAACUCUCUAAAUUUCUCAACUUAUCAGGAGAAAAAAACAAGGCAGGAUUCUCAAGGACUUUUCAGGUCACCAAUUAGAGUUAAUGUAAACGGAAAACAUUUUUAGCCCUCGAUGAGACCAGAAGCAUAUGACCUCGUGGAAAUUAAGUCUGAGCUGUCAGAAAAAUUCCUAGGAAAUGACCUGUGAUUUCAGAUGUCCACUUGACCUUUGCCUUUUAGCUGUACAAGCACCAUGUGUGCAGCUGGCGUGUUUGACUCUUUUAUUUAUUUUCAGACUUCGUUUUGCAUGCAUGCUGUUACCUGAUUGCUAUUGUCUAAAAGGUGCACACUGAAUUCCAUAUUAUCCGAUUGCUUAACCACUCUUCCCAUAAUACACUUGUACGCAUUCACAGGAACUUUCCAGGAGUGUAACCUUUUGGAGUUGUGAAAGGCACCUCUGCAGCCUGUGACAAAAUAAAUAAUCAAAUAGAUAAAAUAUUUAAAUCAGGACAGAUGGAAUUCGUUUCUCUUCUUUUUUUUUCUUGCUUGUUUUUCCUCCUUUCUUCCUCAUAGCUCCCCCUUUUUGAUCUAUUUGUUAUGCAUGUGGGAGGUUGAGUCUGUUGGCAUGAAGACAAAAGUACCAGAAGUUUCCAUUUUAAUAUGCCACAAAUAAAGGGCAUCACAAGUGCCCACAUGGGCACUCAGUAUGAAUAGAACAAGAAAUUUUUAGCAUGUUAUUGUAGUAGAGAGAUGCUUAAUCUCCUGUUUAUAUGGAGAGACCUUCACAGCUGACAAACCAGUGAAGUGUCACUCAUAAAAAGGCAGGUGUUAUGUGUUUUUGUAUAUGUGGUGAGUUUUUGUCUGUAAUUGUCCACAUAUCCUGGGGAUGUUUUUUUAAUCGGUUUGCUACAAUUUUCAGCUCUGAAAAAAUCCUUUCUUCUUUUUAUGUACUAAAUAUACAGUACUAUUGAAUUAUGGCUUUGACAGAAAACAAGAUGAUGAAGCUCUGAACAUUUUGCUAACGUCUUAAUGCGGUGUAAUUUUAUACAAAGUGUUACUCGGUCCAAUCUUCUGUGUACUGUGUAGGUGGUGUAACUUAUGUGAGUUUUUCUUUUAGUCCAUGUCUGUUAGCUUUGAAGUCAUUUAUAUGUCAGUUAACUCCUUAAAAGUGAUGAAUGACCUUUUUAAAUUAACAGUUUUCAGCUGUCUUUCUGCUCUUGGGAAACAGAGCAAACAUACUGAUAACUCAUGUUGCACUAAUGGAGUGUUCAUUUUUAAAUGUUUUUUUUAGUCAUCAAUUUACAGAGCCCCAAAAGGGAAAUGGUGAUGGAAAGAAUAUAAGAUAGGAUGAAAAUAUAUAUUUCAAAGCUUUUCUAACCGCCCGCUCUAAGCUGGACUUGAACCCAGGUCUGCUGGCAUGGGAGUCGGGUGUUCUAACAAGGAGGCUAAAGAGCACCUUUUGAGAUCAGGGGAGUGAGGUUUACACGCAUAGCUCUUAAAGACUGCGGACUGAGGUGUACAAGCACAGCUCUUACCGGUCUACGUCUGUUACUAAACUUUUGCUUUCCUAAGAGAAACGUUGCAUUCGUUCGCAAAAUCUUUGGGUUCCCUCACAAAACUUUUGCGUUCCCCUGAGAAACUUUGCAUCAUUUUGUGCAGUUGUAAGUUGUUAUAUUAUGUUUAUAAUGUGUAUAUUUGAUUAAUCGCACAUGUAUUGGAUGUAUUUAACCUUGUAGCAAAUUGCUUGACUUUACUUUGUUCAAUCACUAUUCAGUUUACACACCUCAAGAGGGUUACUAUUUACUAUUAUCUUUAUCCUUUCUAGAUCUUUAUUCUUUAACAACACUAUUACAUUGUUAAUAUCUUGCAGUAUUAUUUUUUCUUGUCAUAUUUGCUUCUACUGUAAUAAAUAGGUUGCAUAAUUUUCAGCUCAUCUUCUUUAUCAUGUUUAUUCACAGAGAAG